rnacentral:pre_miRNA from 14 species
CUCCAGAGAUGAGGGUGGUCACCUAUCUGGGACAAGCCCCCAAAUGAAAGACCCCAGGAGCAGAGACCCUCACUCAAGUCUCAGGAUGACACGACCCCCCAAGAACUCACAAGAGACC